CCUGGUUGAUCCUGCCAGUUGCCAUCUGCUUCCCUCAAGGUCUAAAUCAUGCCAAUGUCAGAAUACAUGGGCUCAAGUGCGAAUCUGUGAAUGCCUCGUUACACCAGCCAGGAUUCAGCCGA
rnacentral:rRNA from 1 species